rnacentral:miRNA from 1 species
UGCAAUAACUUUAAACCGCUGAGCU